ACUUACAACGAGAGUAAGUUGU
rnacentral:snRNA from 1 species